UUUGCUGCUUUGCUCACUCUCUCAUUAUUGCUGCUCAGAAGCUUUACACAAUUACCUCAGUCUCACAGUGGGCAGGAAGGAUCCGAGCAAUGGUGGUGUGGCUGAAAAGAUCCAGCCUGGCUAAACCUGUCCUUAGAGAGAAGCAGCGUCUUCUCGGUCUUCCAGAACAUGCGGUCAUCCUUGAUGUGAAAACAAGGUGGAAUAGCUUAUUCCUCAUGGUGGAGCGAUUCCUGGAGCAGUUCCCUGCCAUCCAGGCCACCUCCAGUUCUUAUUCUAAAUGCCAUUUUCAGUGUGAAGGAUUUUGCUCAUGAAUCUAUAGUCCAGCUAAAGAAUGUGAUUAUAUUUUACAGACUGCAGUGAGUUUCUGAUGAGGAUUUUAGAAAAGCAGAAGAGUUUGUCAAAGUUACAAAGAUACUUUACACUUCAACCCUCUGCGUCUCUGCUGAAAGGAGCCCAACUUUGGGUCAGAUUCUUAACUAAACUCCAGCACCACUUCACAGUGAAUAAAGAGGACUCCUCCUUCACAAAGACCAUCAAGGACACUAUCUGGAAUGACCUCUCAAAAAGAUACCAGGAUGGCAAUAUCAGACAGUUUUUGGAGGAGGGCACAGCCUUAGAUCCCAGAUUCAAGUUAAAAGUGACAAAUGAAGUGUGGACCAGACUGGAGGAGGAGCUAAUGAAAAGGACCUCAGAACAGACUCCGACUGAGCAGAUAGAACAGGCACUUGAAGAGAGAGCAGGUAACCAAGAUGACAGCUCUGAUGAAGACAGUGCAUCUGCAACAACAGCACUGAAGAGGCCAAAGCUUUCUGCCCUUGAGGAGCUGUGGAGGACAUGGCUGUUGAAGCAAGAAUGCAGACCACUGUCAGCAGCACUACAGAGAGGAUUCAGGCAGAGAUAAAUAAGUACAGACUGCUUCCAUCUACACUGUCCUCAGCAAGUCCAGUAACCUGGUGGUAGGACAUGAAGGAUACUCUGCCAAUGCUUUCAGAAUUGGCAUCAAGGUAUCUUUGCGUGCAAGCAUCAUCCACACCCUCAGAGCGUACAUUUUCCACUGCUGGGGACAUUAUCAGCCAGGAGCGGGCUUGUCUGUCUCCUGAAAAAGCAGACAUGCUAAUUUUUCUGAAGAAGAACUGUUGCGUGAUUUCAGGUGAUCUUAAAAGGUUAGUUCACCAAAAAAUGAAAAUUCUGUCACUAAUUACUCACCCUAAUGUUGUUCCAAACCCAUAAGACCUUUGUUUAUCUUCAGAACACAAAUGACGAUAAUUUGGAUUUAAUCCAAGAGCUUUCUGAUCCUCCCAUAGAUUUACUGGAUAUGCAGUUUUCAAUGCCCAGAAAGGAACCAAAAACAUAGUCAAAAUAAGUCCAUGUGAUACUUCUGUGCGCAAGGUAAACAAAAAUAACUUUAUUCAACGAUUUAUCUAUGGGAGGAUCAGAAAGCUUUUGGAUUAAAUUCAAAAUAUCUUCAUUUGUAGAUAAUUAAUGACAAUUCAAAUUUACUAAACUAACUUUAAGCAGCAGUGAGCCUCACAAACCCUUAAAAUUGAUUGACUUAAAAUGGCUUGAACUUUAUUAAAACGGUUUGCACUGAUAUAUUGUGCUAGCUACACUUUGUUCAUUUUGUGCUUUUGUUCCUUUGUUUAUUGGUCUUACAGAUAAGCCUGCUGUGAAAAGUGUCACAAACAUCCUGAAAAAAUAAAACCAAAGUUUCUCUGAGAUUACGUGUUAUGUAAUCUUGUUAAAACAUAUUUCUUAAAAUAAAAGUAUCGAAAAAAGUAUUGUUCGGAACCGGUAUUGAAUUCAGGGUAUCGGUAUAGAAAUUUUGGAAUGAUACCCAGCCCUACUACUAACAGUACUCACUUUCUCUGCUGGCUUUUUUCAGAUUGCAUUCAAAAAUCCAUUCAGGGAAUGCUUUGGCCACCAGAUCUGGGAUUUUGGAGUCUAUCCUGGAGUCUACAGGCAGGGAACAACCCAGGAUGCAGCUCCCAAAUCCCCUUUUUGCUAAAUUCAACUUCCAACACUAAGGGUGCCUUGUCAACAGCAGGUGUUACGGGAGAGCAAUGGGAGAAAGACAGUUGCCUUAUCAGGCUGGAGGAACACAAGCCACUCUGUUCAGACAUGGAACGGGAAGCAACAGAUGAUUAUAAUAAAGGUAUAUUUGGAUCAUUAAAGAGCUUGUGGCACUUGGCAGUAUCUAAAUUAGUCUCUGAAAUGCCUAAAAGCCUCUAAAAGUCACAACAUAUGAAAUUGAAUUGUUAAACCUUAGUACCGAAGACUAAAAACAAU